GCUCCCUAACCCAGCAACCAAACAAAGCGGAUUAGGCGUUUUGACCAAGCGUGUGUGCCUUAAUCCACAUGCUUAACCUUAAUUAAUUGAUUAAAUUACAAAUAUUCUAGCCCAAACCUCACUAUCACACUCAUCCUUUCCUACUUGGAUUCCAUUCUCAUCUCUCUCUCUCUUUCACUGUUUCUUCCUCCUCUGCACUUGGCGCAGCACAAAGUCGAUUCCUUUCCGCCUCAGCGGCGCCGCUUGUUUCGAUCGAAGCAUCGCGAGAGGCAGCCCGCCGCCUGGGUUUCGUGCCGAUUUUGAUUUCCUUUUUCUUGGCCGCCUCUGCCUCUCUCUCUCUCUCUCUCUCUCCCUUUCUUGGUUCGAUUGUUCCUGGUUCUUGGCCUGAUUGGUUGAACCUGCUUCUUCUGGAAUCAAUUAGGGGAGAAAUAUUUGCAGGAGAGGGGCGGUGGCGAUGGCGGAGUUGGUUGGGCCGCGGGUGUACAGCUGCUGCCAUUGCCGGAACCACGUCUGCCUCCACGACGACAUCAUCUCCAAGGCCUUUCAGGGGAGGAACGGCCGUGCGUUUCUUUUCUCUCAUGCUAUGAACAUAUCUAUGGGUCCAAAGGAGGACAGGCAGCUUAUGACAGGGCUUCACACAGUUGCUGAUAUCUACUGCCGUGAUUGCCGUGAGGUAUUGGGUUGGAAGUAUGAAAGAGCAUUUGAAGAAUCCCAGAAGUACAAGGAAGGAAAAUUCAUAUUUGAGAAGGCAAAGAUUGUUAAAGAAAAUUGGUAAUGACUGGAAAGGGUUGGCGUGCCAAACUUUCCUGUGAAGCUAAAAUUCAUACCUUUGUACAUAGCUGUCGUCUGUAAAUUCGAAUGUUUAGCCUGCAUGAUGUUGCUCAUGCCAUUUGUAAUGUGCACUUGUUUUGCUGUUCAUUUCUGUGAAGAAGACAGGCCUCUGUUUAUUUCUUUGUCAACCAUUUUCUCAUUGUUCAUAAAUGGAUAGCUUGUACAUAAUUAUUUUCCUGUCUAAAUGUUGAAUGUUUGUCAUCAAAGUAAUUCCUUGUGAGUUACAAUGACAUCUAUUAUUAGCUCAUGACACUUAAUGGAUAUGAAAAGAGCAGUAAAAGGUAAAUAUAUUUGCCCAGACUCAUCUACUAGAUCAUAUAUUUUAGAAUUUACAUAGAGAUUAUUGUGCACUAGAGCUUUGAUAUUCUUUUCUUUUCUUGUUGGCAUGGUUCAUAUCUUCUUUGCUAGCAUUCAUGUUUUGCACAUUCGUUUCUUCGGGAUGCUGCCUCUUAUUUCUCUCCUCUAAGUGCAUGUCCAUACCACACUUUUGGAUAUCUAUCCUAGGAUGACCAGGAUGAAACUUCACAAUUGUGUGGAUUGCAUCUUCAGCAUCCUUGAUGUCUAGAGCACUUGCACCGGCACACAAUAAUUGGAUGUAAAUUUUCUUGAGUGAUCUAAGGUGCUCAAUACCAAAUUGGUAACCAUAUGAUUUUGCCUCCUUUACAUGAACUGCCAUCUGUAGCCUCUCAAGUUUUGGCAAAGCUGCUGGUUCAAAUAUCAAAGAGGUUCCUUCACAACUGAAGAUUAACUCUUGUAAGUAUGGGAAGCCUACUCCAUGAAUAACUAUCUUGUCCUCCUUCUGAGGUGAUUUCAACCAUAAGUCGAGAUGAAGUAGAGACGGCAAAUCCUGAAGGAUCUGAAUGUCUUCAUUUGAUAGUUUUUCAAUGUUAAUGUUUAAAUGAAUGAGAUUGCAGAGUGAUGCCAUCCACCUUGGAACUCUUGGGAGAAAGUAGUAUGCAGACAGCCGAAAUCUCUGAAGAUGAUUUGGUGGUGGCGACCAGGAAUCUAAGAACUCCAGGGAACCGAAGUUGCGACUGCAAAUCGCGAAAGAUUGGAGGUUACUUGUGCCAAGUUUGCCAAGAGUAUUCAUCAUAGCCUCUUGGCGCUUCAUAUCGCCGGAGCUGAAAUCAGUCCAGUUGAUUGUAAGCUCCCUUAAACCUUUCAGAGUACCAAGUUCUUGCACUGCAUUGGUCGAGCUACAACAAAUAUUGAAUCCAGAUAUGACUCUUAGGGAUGCCAUGCUCCCUAUACCAUCAGGUCUCCUAUUUCUGGUGGGAGUUUUGAAAUCCAUGUUCUACAAAGGCUCAAAUACUUCAAGUGAAACAAAAUGCUGAUAUCUUUCAGAUGAUUGUCACACAAGCCUAGGCAUCCCUCAAGAUUUAAUACUCUCAAGACCCGAAAAUCGGACAAUGGAGGUAACUGGCAAGCUUGUACAUAUAAACUUAGGGAUCUAGCAUGAAGCAGAUUCAUUCCUCCUUUUGUUUUGGUAAUCUCUUUAUCACAUUGGAUAGAUAAUCGGCGAGUGAUUCCUUGCGGUUUAGCUGCAACAGGAUGACCACCUAACAAAGUGACAAAAUUCUCUUCAAUUGCCUUCGAUAUUAUAAGCUCAAGCAUCAUGUCAUGCACCCGACAAGCAUGAGCUUUACCAUCACAAUUUAUAUCCAUUGGUUGGACCAUACUUCUGUUGAUGAGCUCAUUGAAGUAACUCUCUGCUACAUCCUCCACAGACUGGCCUCUUUCUUCGCCGAUGAAUCCUUCCGCAAUCCAUUGCUGGAUCAGGCUAUCCCUCUCAAUCUUGAAGUCCUCAGGAUACAAACUGAGGUAUAGCAAACAUGUCUUCAGGUAGUAAGGGAGGUCAUAGUAACUGAGGGAAAGUAUUUGUUUCAUUCCUUCAAGAUCAGAGUUCUUCUCUAAUGCAGAACCUAUAGAUAUAAGCACCUUUUCCCACUGCUCCUUCAACAUGACAGGCUUGCUAGCUAACAGGCUAGCUAUGCUGAUUAUUGCCAAUGGUGAACCACAACAUUUUUUCAAGAUCUGGUCUGAAACUUCCUUCAACUGUGGUGGGCAUACAUCCUCAUAGCCAAAAAUUCUCUUGAAAAACAAGUUUCUGGAAUCUGAUGCUUUGAGUGGUUCAAUUCUGUAGAUGAGAUCAUCAGGGUGAGAACAACAUGACUUUGCUACUGAGUCAAUUCUUGUAGUUGUUAGCAGCCUGCUGCAAUGAUUGUUCUCAGGUAGAGCACAUCUCACUUUCUCCCAUGCUGAUUUACUCCAAACAUCAUCAAUUAUGAUGAAGUACCUAUGGAACAAUUCAGCCACUGGUUAGAAAAGUCAGUGCAUUAAGAUCAAUACUCUUUAGAGAAGUUCCAAAGACAUCUUCCCUCUAUUUUGUAAAUACUUGUUGUUUUGAACAAGGACAUCGUCCAAAAAAAACAAAUUUGACCACUAUUUUAUAUUA